AAAAAAACAAACCCUGGGUUUCCGUGUCCAACGUUUGACCGUCUGUCUUAUUUGAAAAAUUAUGAAAAAAAUUUAAAAGACAAGUCACGCAUAAAAUAUUAAUCAUGUUUUAUCAUCUAACAAUAAUAAAAAUACUAAUUAUAAAAAAAUUCAUAUAAGACGGACAGUCAAAUGUUGGACACGAAAACCCAUGGUUUGUCUUUUU
rnacentral:pre_miRNA from 1 species